rnacentral:rRNA from 1 species
GCCAGACUCCUACGGGAGGCAGCAGUGGGGAAUAUUGCACAAUGGGGGGAACCCUGAUGCAGCGACGCCGCGUGGGCGAGGAAGUAUUUCGGUAUGUAAAGCCCUAUCGGCAGGGAAGAAGAAAUGACGGUACCUGAAUAAGAAGCACCGGCUAAAUACGUGCCAGCAGCCGCGGUAAUACGUAUGGUGCAAGCGUUAUCCGGAUUUACUGGGUGUAAAGGGAGCGCAGGCGGCACGGCAAGCCUGAUGUGAAAGCCCGCGGCCCAACCGCGGGACUGCAUUGGGAACUACCGGGCUGGAGUGCCGGAGAGGUAGGCGGAAUUCCUAGUGUAGCGGUGAAAUGCGUAGAUAUCAGGAGGAACACCAGUGGCGAAGGCGGCCUGCUGGGCUUUAACUGACGCUGAGGCUCGAAAGCGUGGGGAGCAAACAGGAUUAGAUACCCCAGUA